GGAUGUGAGGGCAAUCUGGCUAUGACAUCUGUCACCCCAUUGAUCGCCAGGGCUGAUUCGGCUGAUCUGGCUGGCUGGGCGGGUGUCCCCUUCCUCCCUCAGGGCUCCAUGUGCAUCCCUCCCGAAGCUGCGCGCUGGUCAAAGAGGACAGCCUUCCCCGAAUAGAGACAGACCGACCAGCCUUUAGUAGCUGCGCUCCCUUGCUAGAACCUCCAAACAAGCUCUAUGAUAACCCUUUCACCAAAGGGUACAACUUGGUGUUACUUGGAGAGCCACAUUCUGGGGAUUCAUUGAUGGAUGUUUCCUUUAGAA
ensembl:misc_RNA 7SK 7SK RNA